rnacentral:rRNA from 1 species
CGUGUAGGUGGUCGGGUAAGUCAGAUGUGAAAGCCUUCUGCCUAACAGAAGAAGUGCAUUUGAAACUGCUCGGCUAGAGUACGGGAGAGGAGAGUGGAAUUCCCGGUGUAGAGGUGAAAUUCGUAGAUAUCGGGAGGAACACCAGUGGCGAAGGCGGCUCUCUGGUCCGAUACUGACGCUGAGACGCGAAAGCGUGGGGAGCAAACAGGAUUAGAUACCCUGGUAGUCCACGCCGUAAACGAUGGGCACUAGGUGUAGGAGGUAUUGACCCCUUCUGUGCCGAAGCUAACGCACUAAGUGCCCCGCCUGGGGAGUACGGCCGCAAGGCUAAA